UACGGAGGAUGCGAGCGUUAUCCGGAUUUAUUGGGUUUAAAGGGUGCGCAGGCGGUCUGUUAAGUCAGCGGUCAAAGCCCGGGGCUCAACCCCGGCCCGCCGUUGAAACUGGCAGUCUCGAGUUGGAGAGAAGUAUGCGGAAUGCGCGGUGUAGCGGUGAAAUGCAUAGAUAUCGCGCAGAACUCCGAUUGCGAAGGCAGCAUGCCGGCUCCACGCUGACGCUGAGGCACGAAAGCGUGGGUAUCGAACAGG
rnacentral:rRNA from 1 species